GAGGGGAAGCCCAAAGGGGAAGGCCUCUCAGGCCUUUUGAGCAGGUCCCUUGCCUGUCCUGCUCUGCACCUGAAUCUCCUGGGUUCAGGAGAAUUAUCUCAGGGGUGGUGUGGGAUGGGAGUGCUGGCACAGGGAGGAGGUAGAAGUAAGCAAGGAGAGAACUGGGGAUGAGCCUGUUCAGAUUUCAGCCAAACCCAUGGAGGUUGCCUUUUGAGGACCUAUAUGUGUGAACUCAAAAUGAAGAGGUUUGCUGAGGAAAUGAAGAGUGAACAGAAUUCAAGUUUGUCUGCCUGGAUAUAUGUCACGCAAAGCUAAAGGACUCCUGCCAGGCAGAGGCAGCCACUACUUUGAACUGCCAAGUGACCCAUCG
rnacentral:lncRNA from 1 species